rnacentral:rRNA from 1 species
CAGCAGCCGCGGUAAUACGAAGGGUGCAAGCGUUAAUCGGAAUUACUGGGCGUAAAGGGUGCGUAGGCGGUUGUUUAAGUCUGUUGUGAAAUCCCCGGGCUCAACCUGGGAAUUGCAGUGGAUACUGGGUCACUAGAGUGUGGUAGAGGAUAGUGGAAUUUCCGGUGUAGCAGUGAAAUGCGUAGAGAUCGGAAGGAACAUCUGUGGCGAAGGCGACUACCUGGGACAACACUGACGCUGAAGCACGAAAGCGUGGGGAGCGAACAGGAUUAGAUACCCCGGUAGUCCCUGUCUCUUAUAC